CACGUAGGGUGCGAGCGUUGUCCGGAAUUAUUGGGCGUAAAGAGCUCGUAGGCGGUGUGUCGCGUCGGGAGUGAAAUCUUACAGCUUAACUGUGAACUUGCUUUCGAUACGGGCAGACUUGAGGCAUUCAGGGGAGAACGGAAUUCCUGGUGUAGCGGUGAAAUGCGCAGAUAUCAGGAGGAACACCGGUGGCGAAGGCGGUUCUCUGGGAAUGUACUGACGCUGAGGAGCGAAAGUGUGGGGAGCGAACAGG
rnacentral:rRNA from 1 species